rnacentral:rRNA from 1 species
GACGAACGCUGGCGGCGUGCUUAACACAUGCAAGUCGAACGGAAAGGCCCUUCGGGGUACUCGAGUGGCGAACGGGUGAGUAACACGUGGGUGAUCUGCCCUGCACUUUGGGAUAAGCCUGGGAAACUGGGUCUAAUACCGAAUAGGACCGCGCGCUUCAUGGUGUGUGGUGGCAAGCUUUUGCGGUGUGGGAUGGGCCCGCGGCCUAUCAGCUUGUUGGUGGGGUAAUGGCCUACCAAGGCGACGACGGGUAGCCGGCCUGAGAGGGUGACCGGCCACACUGGGACUGAGAUACGGCCCAGACUCCUACGGGAGGCAGCAGUGGGGAAUAUUGCACAAUGGGCGCAAGCCUGAUGCAGCGACGCCGCGUGAGGGAUGACGGCCUUCGGGUUGUAAACCUCUUUCACCAGGGACGAAGCGCAAGUGACGGUACCUGGAGAAGAAGCACCGGCCAACUACGUG